GCUCUAUCUGUGAAGAACCACCUGCAAGUAACCCAUCCCACCGCCAUCUUCUCCGGCGUCGUUCCCGCAGCCUAACACCAUCACCCCUGCUAUCACUUUCAACUCGUCGCCUUUUCUUCUUUUCUGUGGACUAAUUCAAAAUCCACCACCACCACCACCAUUCGUUUUAACUCCACAACAACCAUCAGUCCAUCACCGUUACCUUUCUUCUCCACAGAUCUGUGGUGGCGGUGGUUUCAGGUGGUCGCGAACCAUUUACAGGGGGCGGUGGUCUUAGGAGUUCGGGAACCAUUUACAGAGAGACACUUAGAUCCACCGGAGACGAAUGGCCGGAAAGUAGUUUCAGAAGGUCUGGAACCAUUCCUAGGGGCGGUGACUGCCGGAAAGUGAAUUUUGAAAGUGACGAAUGGCCGAAAAGUCGAUUCAAGUAUUUGGGUUUUGAAUUUCUUCUGCAUUUAUGGAAGCUGGAGAGGCUCCGUUGAUGCUGAGUAUAUGAAACUUCAUAUUGGUAUUGGUGGUAGUGGCGGAUCUAGGAUUCCGACCAAGCGGGAACGUUUUAUAAAUAGGCGGUAACGAAAUCGAAAAAACGUCAAAUUUUUCCAAAAUUUAC
rnacentral:lncRNA from 1 species